AAAAGAAAAUCCCAAGACGGGGGCGGCGUGAGGCGGGGGCUGGGGGCGUCCAGCCGGCUGCCCACCGGGUCCCGCUCGCCCGGCUGGGGGAUUCAGCGCUCCCUGGCGCCGGUGUCCGCGGCGUUAGGGAAUCCCGAAGGAUUUGGGGUGGGGGCAAGAGGUGGGGCCAGAAGCCAUAAAGUGGCUUCCGCUCCCUUGUCAGCUCCCCACCCCCAACUCCACGGCCCCCGGCCUGGCAGGGCUCUGGGAUCCGGCAAGACACAAAAGACCGGUGGCCCCGGUGCCAAGAACUCUGCCGCCGCCUCGGUCCGCGCGGCCUUGGGGCCGGGUCCCCGCGCCGGCCCGGGCGCGCCGGGGAGCCUGGAGCAUCCCUGGGCGCCUCCUGAGCUCCCCGGUGCGCUCCUCGGCCCGCAGAUACUGAGGCAGAGGCGGCGGAGGGGAAACGGAGAGCAAAGGCAAGACUUACUUGGGGGCCGGGGGCUCCGCCGGACUCCCGCUCCGGACGCGGCAGGUGUCUGGCCCCGCGGGCCCAGGCGGAAGGCGCUGGCGCAGCUCCGAGCAGGGGCGCCACUUGGCGAGCACCGGGAACUCCCCUUGCUGCCGGGCCCCGCGCCGCGCCGCUCGCUGUCACCUCGCCGCGCGACGCAGGCUCGCUCCCCACUGCCUGGCGCCUCGGCCCGGGCGGGUCUCUCGCCGUCCGCUCGCGGCGCGGCCGCUCCCCGACAGACCACACCCUGUCACCCCGCGCGGCCCUUCGCUCCUGCCUCUUUGACACUUCCACGGGUUACUCCGCGGUCUGCGUCCCCCACCCCCUCCGCCCACGUGCUCCUGCCGCUCCCUCGGCGCCGAACUUCCCCUGCCGGGAGCCCCCACCCGCGCGCCGCAGAGCCGGCGGACUCGGAGCCGGGCGAAGGUCCCGGGGUCCUCGCCCGCCGGCCCCUGCCCCCCGUCCCCCGUCCCCGGCCGCUUUGGCGCGCGGGACCUCGCUCUGCGUUUCUUCCUGCGGUGGUUUGGGGAUACUGCGUGGUAUUAUGUAAGGAUAGACGUUUUUAA
rnacentral:lncRNA from 1 species